CUGUCCCCAGGUCUCUCUUCCUUCAAAAGCCACCCAUGUCCUCCAGGCUACUGGUGUCCAGGUGAUCAAGGUGCCUUUCUCUGUCCACCUGGCACCUUUCGAACAAAGCCAGGGGCAUCAUCCCAAGAAGACUGUGAGCUCUGUCUCCCUGGCCACUACUGCCCCCAGGCUGAGCUUCAAGAUCAUGCAAAUGUGUUUGUGAUCCCCUGCAGAGCUGGAGCUGAGUGCCCUGAAGGUUCUGUGGCUGAGGUCACAUGCAGGGCUGGCUCCUACUGCGGGCCCCAGACAGGGGUCCCCCCACUUUGCCCUGGGGGCUAUGCCUGCCCUGCUGGCUCUUCCACCUACACUGGCCCAGGGCAGCUCUGCGUGUUUCCCUUUUACUGCCCCGUGGGCAGUGCCCAUCCACGUGCGUGCCCUGGGGCCUCUGAGGCCCUGAAUGGAACUGGCCUUAGGGUCUCCAAGGAGACUUGCUGCCGCCUCUGUGAAGCAGGCACCUACCGCAGCCAGGCCCUGGAUUCCCAGACCUGUCAGCCCUGUCCGCCUGGAUUCACCUGCUACCA